rnacentral:rRNA from 1 species
GUGCAGCAGUCGAGAAACUUUACAAUGUGCGAAAGCACGAUAAGGGAACUCUGAGUGCCUCCUAAGGAGGCUGUUCAGGUGUCUAAAAGCACCUGGAGUAAGGGCUGGGUAAGACCGGUGCCAGCCGCCGCGGUAACACCGGCAGCCCAGGUGGUAGCCACUUUUAUUGGGUCUAAAGCGUCCGUAGCCGGUUGAGUAAGUUCCUUGGGAAAUUUGGCUGCUCAACAGUCAAGCUUCCAGGGAAUACUGCUCGACUUGGGGACUGGGAGAGGUCAGAGGUACUCCAGGGGUAGGGUGAAAUCCAUUAAUCCCUGGGGGACCACCGGUAGCGAAGGCGUCUGACCAGACCAGGUCCGACGGUGAGGGACGAAGGCUAGGGUCGCGAACCGGAUUAGAUACCCGGGUAGU